GUUUUAAAAUUCCUGAUGAGAGGUCCAGGAGGUCACACACCCCUCUCAAACUCUAUUGUUUGACCUGUGAGAGACGAGAGGAUUCGUGAUCACUAGGGUGUCAAAUUGACUGAACCAAAAGACCGUUCAAACAGAACAGAUACCAACCAGAACGAUCUACUUGUUGGGUCACUGUUUUGAUUUAGAAAAAAAAACUGCAGCUAUGGUUCAGUUUCGGUUUGGAUCAAUUGGAUCAAUAAGAAUUGUAAGGGCACACCAUUUGCUGGCUUCUGUUUUUUUUUUUUGCUAAUUUACAACCCCAUUCCUUAAAGAAUGCCACAAUUAUAAGAAUAUUCCUUUUGUUUCAUCAAAUUAUAUUCAGACCCUCUAUCGUCAGUUACUAUUAAAUAAAGAAUUAAAAUGAUUGUUAUACCCUUGUCAAAUCUUCGUCUUUAUGAACUUCCAGAAUUCAAAGAAAUUCCGAAAUCUCAUCACGCAGAUGGGAAGAGGUUGUAGACACUCGGCUGAUUUCAGAUUUCAAUUGGUUUUGACUUAUAUUGGUUAUAAAAAGGACGAACGAGGCUACAGAGCUCCUCUCUAAAGCGGCACGUCUUGCCUAUUUUCAUGGCAAGGUCAGCAUCGAAGAAGCGGUGUCGGCGUUGGAAUCUUCGUCGACAUCGCUUGCCCCAUAUGGAUGAUCUGAUGAACUGGGUCCAUACUAGAUCCAUCUGGCAUAUGACCUUCAACCUUGCUUGCUAUGCGGUCGAGAUGAUGCACACCGGUGCUGCCCGCUGCGAUUUCGAUCGAUUUGGAAUUAUUUUAGACCGAUUGUAUGAUUGUUGCUGGCACCCUUACCAAAAAGAUGGCUCAUGCGCUUCACAAAGUCUGAUCAAAUGCUGCGAGUUCUUGUUAGUCGCCGUCCGUCAUCGCUGUCGCCAUGAUCUCCGGUGAAUUAAAUGAUUGCCGGUGGUAGAAAUAGUAACUUAUUACAUGGGUAUUUUAAGUAUUUUAUAUUUAGUAAGGGUAUUUUGGUAUU